UAGCUUAGUGUCACUUUUCUCAUCCCAUAUGAUAAUGUUUGGCAGAGGAACACCUACCUCAGCAUCUGGAUCCCUCCUGCACAGUUCACAGACCCAGUGUCUGACAAUUUCAGUGGCUUUAGAUAAAACACAUUUUUCUUACACCCGUAUAGCCUUUCUGCAGAGAGCUUCACCCAUUUUGCUUCAGUGCAGAUGCCACAGUGGUUGCUUGUCUGCGAGUGUAAAGCACAGAUGCUCUUCAGCUCUACCUUGGAGGAUUCAUGUGGAGAAGAGCUUCAGGGAUGCCAUAUAAAGCACAUAAAAUUCAUGGACAGUUUGAGAUGUAUUGAUGACUGCCUGAUUACCAGUAAUUUGUUUGAUGCAGGUAGUGUGGGGUGAGCACAAAGGACAGCAAAACAUCUUCCAUAUUUUAAUCUGGAUUUUUUUUUUUUCUUUAACAAGGAGAGUGAGAUUAUUUUCUGGCAUUCCUCCACAGCUCUGCACAGUCUCAAAUUAAAUUGCUAGAAUGCUGCCCUGAGAGAUUUUAAUUUACAUUUCAAUAGUCCAAAGCAGCAGUUAGUAAAUCUCCUUCUUGGAGUAAGCUUCAGUUUCUGGUUAAUCACUAAAGUUUCUGAAAUUGGUGAGAAACAGGUGUUUAAUCUCUUUAAGGGCUAAGGUAUAAUUUCCUUUGUUGUGGAAAGCUAUGAGCCCAGGAGCUCUGCCCCUUUGAUAGCAGGGCUUAAAAGUAUCAACCCAUAGCUUUUAAUUACCGUCCCCUCAGCUGCAAAGUGAUGCAGGAGAAAAGAGACUGGCAUAGGUCGAUGCUGCUUAUGACUGUGACCUUGCCGUGACCACGUAUGCCGCUUUUGACAGUUUGGACAGCCUUGAACAGCAUACUUUAUUCUGAGCAUGGUGCAGCUCCCAUGAAAGUAUCUUGUGACCAUUGCAUUGGAUCAAAAUUCAGAGCUGGCUGCUUUCCACCAAAGACUCUCUUUGGCAUCUUGUUCAUAUGCUCACCUGUCUACAUUCAGAAGAUAAGACCUCCUUUUUUUAGGUUAUUGUUUCUACUUUCCAGUUUACCAAAGCAUGGUAAUAAAACUGUAUCACGCUAUUCUUCUUUCGUAAGUAGCAUCGUGCCAUUUUCUGUGGUGACUGGAGGUGGAGUAGCCUCAGGAUAUAGGAAAACAGAAUUGCAAAAUAUCCUUAUUAUGCAGGCAUGA
rnacentral:lncRNA from 1 species